AUUUUUAUAGAAGAGCUUUAAUAAUUCCAAAGAGAUUAUAUGAGAUAAUCUCCUUGAUAAUUUUAACCUUUGAGGAACAUUUCAAUCGUGUAUUAUUAUAACUUUUUUCGUUCAACUUUAAUUGAUGAAACAUAAUAAACAAAUAUAUACAGAGUGAUAUUUGAUACAACUAUCCUGUUAAUCAAACACAUUCUGAUAAGGUUAACCAGAUGUUGGACACAUUUCAAAGAUAGUUGCUAUGGUAAUUAAGAUUAUAGAAAAUCUAAAUGUAAUGGGAUGGUCAUUUUUGAGGUUAUUUCCUGUCGUCUAUUUGUAACUUCCGAAGGCAGUGAAAACAAAGAAAACUAAAAGAGAAAAUCACAGUUCAAAGAGAAAGAAACAUAUCUGGUAUUUGAGAACUACAGAAGACAAAUUAAAGCAGAGUGCAAAAGGAAUUUUAAUAAUCAUUGAAAAUAUUCUGGCUUCAAAAUGCAUGGAAAUGGAGAUGGGACAAAAUGCAUUCUACCAUUUGAUAGCCCAGAAUGAAUUACUUUAAAAGGCUAACAAGAAGAGGAGGCUCGCAGUAGAAGAUACAGACUCUGAAUAAUUAAUAAAAUGUUAAAAUGCUA